GACGAACGCUGGCGGCGUGCUUAACACAUGCAAGUGGAGCGACGAACCGGGCUUCGGCCCGGGGCAAAGCCGCGAACGGGUGAGUAUCACGUGGGUAACCUGCCCCGAAGACCGGGACAACCCGAGGAGACUCGGGUUAAUACCGGAUGUCUUCUCCGCACAUCAGUGCGGAGAGAAAAGGAAGCUCCGGCCUCCGCAUCGGGAUGGGCCCGCGGCCCAUUAGCUUGUUGGUGAGGUAACGGCCCACCAAGGCGACGAGGGGUAGCUGGGCUGAGAGGACGAUCAGCCACACUGGGACUGAGACGCGGCCCAGACUCCUACGGGAGGCAGCAGUGGGGAAUCUUGCGCAAUGCGCGAAAGCGUGACGCAGCAACGCCGCGUGAGGGAAGAAGGCCUUCGGGUUGUAAACCUCUUUCAGGAGGGACGAAGGUUCAGGCGCGAAUAGCGUCCUGGACUGACGGUACUUCCAGAAGAAGCCCCGGCUAACUACGUGCCAGCCGCCGCAGUAG
rnacentral:rRNA from 1 species